CGGAGCUGCAGGGAGGGGAGAGGAAAAAAGCGGCCUUGCGAGCCAGGGGGAGCUGCUAAGCGGCGACUGAAGCAGUAGAGAGCGCGGAGAGACAGCAACGGGGUGAGGGGGAGAGCAAGGGAGCAGGAAGUAUUAUUGACCAUGUGUAAACAAAAUCUACAGAUGUGAAACUGUCCCCUAGAAAUAACUGGAGCCUCAAAAACUAUAGCACUACCUGAAGAUUUUUCCAGAUCUCUUCUGUGCAGCUUUUUAUUAUCUGCGGAAAAUGAAGGUUCAUGCCACAACUCAUUUUACUUCAGGAAUUUUGUAGCAAUGAACUGUGACCAAAAAAGAAUGGGAGAAAAAAAGACCGGUGUGUUGGCUUGAACCAAGAAACCUCUUCUGGAGUUUUAAUGUCUCCUUAAAUCAGCGCAGAACAGAGAUGACUUACAGAGAAGACUCUACCAGUUUUUUAAGCCUUCCAAAAAAGCAGAACACACAAGUUUAAUACAUCAGGUUAGGCAUGCAGAAGUCGUUGUUUGUGAAUGCAUUUAUCUGUUUAAACAUCCUGAACAGAUGAGGCUAGAAUUUUUUUAUAUACACAUUUAGAGGCUCCUUUUUAAACUAUUCAUGUGGGCCCCAGUUUUACAGGGUGAUUCAGGAGACAAAUGCUAGCAUCCACCCAGAGUCUCAUUUAUCAAUAUGGACCAUGCAAAAACCUUUGCAGUCUUUAAAUCUACACUAGAUCAAUAUUUUAAAUGGCUUAUUUCAGUCACAAGUGUUGGGCUAGAUACCUGGUAAUAAGUAGGGCCAGCAUUCUAUAUAGAGGAUAUCUGACUAGAUAUUAAAAUCUGUUGUUUUGAAUCAGGCUCUGCAAUGACAUAAGUGUCAGCCCAUUCAGUUCAGCUGGUAAAAUUGUGCUUCCUGUAGCAUAACUAGUGGUGAUCAAGUGGGUCAUGAGCCCCAAGUACUGAGUUAAAGAGACAGGACAGCACUUGGGGAGAGGUUGGGGUGUCACUACUGUUAGAGGAGGUGCCACCAAAUUCAGUGUUGAUGUGUUCAGGUGGCAACAGGAUUCAGCAGCACUUCCCCUUGCUCCUGUGGCGUCUCCCACAGGGUAGAGCACUGUGUUUUGUGUAAAUCUUAUCAGUUAUGCCUCUGUACACUUUUGUAUGCUUUGUCAGAGAUCAGAAGAAUUAGAUACAAGACUGAAAAGAAAAUUAAGACAAAUACCACUAAUAGAAAUAGUGGCAUCAUGCCUUAUAAAAAUAUAAGGCAAGGACAUUGUACUUUAUUUAAGAGAGUGUGUGUGUGUGUGUGUACAUACAUUUCUUUGGAUUGUGAAUAUAUGCUAUAGGAAAAGAUGCUUUUAUUUUUGAAUGCUGUACAUAUUUCUCUCUUUUUUAAAUUUUACUGGAGGUGGCACACACUACAAGCAUAUUAAUACAAAUUUCACUAUGAGUUGGCAUAAAUUAUGGUCUCCUCUGGGUAUAAAAUGCAUAGUAUUCUUAAAAUAAUCCAUGUAACAGACUGGCAGAUUUGAUUAUUUUCUUUGGUUUUUUUAUGUGUUUGAAUGCAUGACUACUUCACAAGGUUAGCACAAAAUUGUCAAUCCGAUUUUAAAUUUUACCCAGUCUCCUAACUAUUGUAUAUGACUUCUAUGUGUAUAGAUAUUUUCUGUAGUUGAUGGAGGAAAUUCACAUUUAACAUCCAACACAGCAAACAAGCUGAGGAGAAGGGGGAUGAAGUACUACUUCUGAGUAUUGGCCAGAAAGAGGUCGGUAGGGAAUUUUUUGGUAAAUCCUUCUUAUUGUACCUUUUAAGUGGUGAGAGCUGGAUUGGAGAGUGCUGGAUAAAAGAAACUCCAGAAAGGUAGCUGUAGAGCUUGUACUGAACAUGCUUAGAGAGGGCAGGGAGAUAAGAGCUGGAAUGUAAUUGGAGAGGCAGUUGGAUGAGUCCUGCCAUUCAGUGAUGGGAUUUUAUAAAAGUGUGAGAUUAAAGUGGGCAAAAUGUUUUCAUCAUUAGUCUAAGGCAUGUACCCAGAAAUAUUGUCCCAUGUUUUUUCUGUGGCUGAUACCUUUUUGCAGAAUGUGAAAGAGAGGGUUGCAUUUUUUCUUGUUGUAGGAUUUUUCUGUUUAAGGAUUUACUGUUGUUGUUUCUUAAACUAUUUAUUGCAUUUAUAUAUAUAUAAAAUUCAUGGUCCACUUGUUCAAAGCAUGCAAAUUUUUUUAUUAUUUAGAAAGUAUGAAUCUCAUGCAUAAGUUGUAUGUUACUGAAAAAGAACUCUGUCUUAUCUGUAAAGAGCCACCACAGUUAGUUUAAAAGAUUCCAAUUUAAUAGAUUAUAUUGCUAUGGUUUCGUUCUAUGAGAUUCAGAAGACUUCAGCGUUCUCAAGUUCAGGUAGGUGGGGCCUGCGGUGGGUGGGUGCUAAGCAGCUGUGGGAGGCAGCUGAGAGGAGCCAAAGAGGGUCAGCCCCCUCCCCCCAGCUCCUAUUUGGCCUAUCCCCCCAGGGAGCCAUGCAAUGAGUCCUGCCCAGCAUGUGUGACAGUGAGGGACUAGGGGAAGAGGGGGGCACUUACCUGCCCCCUUCUCCAGCAGGACAGGGACAGAGGCAGUGAUCUGUUGGGAAGAGACGGCCUCCACCUCACCCCAACGGGAAAGAAG